CACGUAGGCGGAUUGCUAAGUCAGGGGUGAAAUCCUGGAGCUCAACUCCAGAACUGCCUUUGAUACUGGCGAUCUCGAGUCCGGGAGAGGUGAGUGGAACUGCGAGUGUAGAGGUGAAAUUCGUAGAUAUUCGCAAGAACACCAGUGGCGAAGGCGGCUCACUGGCCCGGUACUGACGCUGAGGUGCGAAAGCGUGGGGAGCAAACA
rnacentral:rRNA from 1 species